rnacentral:rRNA from 1 species
GAUGAACGCUGGCGGCGUGCCUAAUACAUGCAAGUCGAGCGAACAGACGAGGAGCUUGCUCCUCUGACGUUAGCGGCGGACGGGUGAGUAACACGUGGAUAACCUACCUAUAAGACUGGGAUAACUUCGGGAAACCGGAGCUAAUACCGGAUAAUAUAUUGAACCGCAUGGUUCAAUAGUGAAAGACGGUUUUGCUGUCACUUAUAGAUGGAUCCGCGCCGCAUUAGCUAGUUGGUAAGGUAACGGCUUACCAAGGCGACGAUGCGUAGCCGACCUGAGAGGGUGACCGGCCACACUGGAACUGAGACACGGUCCAGACUCCUACGGGAGGCAGCAGUAGGGAAUCUUCCGCAAUGGGCGAAAGCCUGACGGAGCAACGCCGCGUGAGUGAUGAAGGUCUUCGGAUCGUAAAACUCUGUUAUUAGGGAAGAACAAAUGUGUAAGUAACCAUGCACGUCUUGACGGUACCGAAUCAGAAAGCCACGGCUAACUACGUG